UACGAAGGGGGCUAGCGUUGCUCGGAAUCACUGGGCGUAAAGGGUGCGUAGGCGGGUCUUAAGUCAGGGGUGAAAUCCUGGAGCUCAACUCCAGAACUGCCUUUGAUACUGAGGAUCUUGAGUCCGGGAGAGGUGAGUGGAACUGCGAGUGUAGAGGUGAAAUUCGUAGAUAUUCGCAAGAACACCAGUGGCGAAGGCGGCUCACUGGCCCGAUACUGACGCUGAGGCACGAAAGCGUGGGGAGCAAACAGG
rnacentral:rRNA from 1 species